rnacentral:rRNA from 1 species
CCUACGGGAGGCUGCAGUGAGGAAUAUUGGUCAAUGGACGAGAGUCUGAACCAGCCAAAUAGCGUGAAGGAUGACUGCCCUAUGGGUUGUAAACUUCUUUUAUAUGGGAAUAAAAUGUUCCACGUGUGGCUUUUUGUAUGUACUUUAUGAAUAAGGAUCGGCUAACUCCGUGCCAGCAGCCGCGGUAAUACGGAGGAUCCGAGCGUUAUCCGGAUUUAUUGGGUUUAAAGGGAGCGUAGGUGGAUUGUUAAGUCAGUUGUGAAAGUUUGCGGCUCAACCGUAAAAUUGCAGUUGAAACUGGCAGUCUUGAGUACAGUAGAGGUGGGCGGAAUUCGUGGUGUAGCGGUGAAAUGCUUAGAUAUCACGAAGAACUCCGAUUGCGAAGGCAGCUCACUGGACUGCAACUGACACUGAGGCUCGAAAGUGUGGGUAUCAAACAGGAUUAGAUACCCCUGUAGUC